rnacentral:misc_RNA from 1 species
UAUGUCUAGCAGUGAACUGCAAUAGGCUGGAAUCAUGAUGAUGAUCUUCUGUAAGGUCGAGGUACUUGCCCAGUCGGGCUGCUUUAAAUUUUGAAGUGAUUAAUCAUCCUGAGUUUGAGCUUGUUAAUUUUUGCUGUGCCCUUACUAAUUACUGGUAUCGGUUCACUUUUUUGUAACUCGGCGUGCAGAACUCACUAACUAUAAUAUAGCCAAUUGACUAAAGGGGUACGAACCUUUGUGGCAUAUCUAGCCGCCGCCAUCUUGGUUUUUUUUUCAAAAUUUCCGAGUACGGUAAAAGGUAUUUUCAAACUUUCAUUGGGCGACUGCUAAGAAUAUUUUGCGACUUUCGACCAUAGAUGGGGCGACUUGAAUCAAAACUUUCUGGCAAGCCUGUCGGGCGGCGGCCAAUAGACGACGACUACUUAAGCUCGUCAGGUCGCGUGUAGAAGUCCGGCCGCCGCCGCGUUAUUUAGUAAAAGACAUUACUUCUAUUGUGAUGUAAACGUGAUGGUUGUAAGCCGGGACCGCGGCCCUCUGCGCGCCUCGCUCGAGCGCUUGUUACAGACCGUUAGGGAAAUGUUUGUUACGAUGAUUCGUUGUUAUAGUUUAAAGAGAGCGAGGCUGGAAGGGUCGCGGCUCGCGGCUCGCGAGGACUUGCUUCCUGUACUGUAUUUUAUGUUCCAUUAAAUAAAUUGGGUUAAGAUUUCUUUUUUGUUUUCUUUACACUCCUACUAGCUGUGCUGACUUCGUUAGAUCGCAGUUUGCGUUGUUCAGUUCGCAGAGGUAUAAAAUAAGUAUAUUCCGUAUUUU